UGGGGAAUAUUGGGCAAUGGGCGCAAGCCUGACCCAGCAAUGCCGCGUGUGUGAAGAAGGCCUGAGGGUUGUAAAGCACUUUCACUGGGGAGGCAUUACCCAGAGAAGAAGCGCCGGCUAACUCCGUGCCAGCAGCCGCGGUAAUACGGAGGGCGCGAGCGUUAAUCGGAAUUACUGGGCGUAAAGCGUGCGUAGGCGGCGCGUUAAGUCAGGCGUGAAAGCCCCGGGCUCAACCUGGGAACUGCGCUUGAUACUGGCGCGCUCGAGUUUGGCAGAGGGGGGCGGAAUUCCGGGUGUAGCGGUGAAAUGCAUAGAUAUCGUCAAGAACACCGAUAGCGAAGGCAGCUUACUAAGCUGUAACUGACGCUGAGGCACGAAAGUGUGGGGAUCAAACAGGAUUAGAUACCCGAGUAGU
rnacentral:rRNA from 1 species